UACGGAGGAUGCAAGCGUUAUCCGGAUUUAUUGGGUUUAAAGGGUGCGCAGGUUGUUUGAUAAGUCAGUGGUGAAAGUCUGUCGCUUAACGGUAGGAUUGCCAUUGAUACUGUUGGACUUGAAUAUGGAUGAGGUAGGCGGAAUGUGUAGUGUAGCGGUGAAAUGCAUAGAUAUUACACAGAACACCGAUUGCGAAGGCAGCUUACUAAUCCAUCAUUGACGCUGAGGUACGAAAGCGUGGGGAUCAAACAGGAUUA
rnacentral:rRNA from 1 species